rnacentral:rRNA from 1 species
CUACGGGAUGCUCCAGUGAGGAAUAUUGCACAAUGGGGGGAACCCUGAUGCAGCAACGCCGCGUGGAGGAUGACGCAUUUCGGUGUGUAAACUCCUUUUAUAUGUCAAGAAAAUGACGGUAGCAUAUGAAUAAGCACCGGCUAACUCCGUGCCAGCAGCCGCGGUAAUACGGGAGGGUGCAAGCGUUACUCGGAAUCACUGGGCGUAAAGGACGCGUAGGCGGGUUGGAAAGUCAGGUGUGAAAUCCUACAGCUUAACCGUAGAACUGCACUUGAAACUUCUAAUCUAGAGUAUGGGAGGGGGAGAUGGAAUUAGUGGUGUAGGGGUAAAAUCCGUAGAUAUCACUAGGAAUACCUAAAGCGAAGGCGAUCUCCUGGAACAUUACUGACGCUAAGGCGUGAAAGCGUGGGGAGCAAACAGGAUUAGAUACCCCUGUAGUC